rnacentral:rRNA from 1 species
AUUGAACGCUGGCGGCAGGCCUAACACAUGCAAGUCGAACGGUAACAGGAAGAAGCUUGCUUCUUUGCUGACGAGUGGCGGACGGGUGAGUAAUGUCUGUGAAACUGCCUGAUGGAGGGGGAUAACUACUGGAAACGGUAGCUAAUACCGCAUAACGUCGCAAGACCAAAGAGGGGGACCUACGGGCCUCUUGCCAGCGGAGGUGCCCAGUUGGGAUUAGCUUGUAGGUGGGGUAACGGCUCACCUGGGCGACGAUCCCUAGAUGGUCUAAGAGGAUGACCAGCCGCACUGGAACUGAGACACGCUCCAGACUCCUACGGGACGCACCAGUGGCCAAUAUUGCACAAUGGGCGCGAGCCUUACGCAGCCAUGCCGCGUGUAUGAAGACGGCCUUGGGGUUGUAAAGUACUUUCAGCGGGGAGAAAGGGAGUUAAGUUAAUACCAUUGCUCAUUGACGUUACCCGCAGAAGAAGCACCGGCUAACUCCGUG